rnacentral:lncRNA from 1 species
UGAAGGCACAAGGGGUCAGAUCUGGGUUGAAGACACCCUGCCCUAGGUACCAGCUGGAGAUGUUUUGUCCCUUCCAGGACGCUGGAGGCGGAGAGAGUCACUUGAGGGAGUUUCUGCUGUUCUUGCUGAUGAUUUUGCUACUUUGCUUACAGGUAGAGAACCUGGCUCCAGUGGACAACGGCUGCCCGGGACCCAUUUUGCUGUUUUCGGAAUUCUUUUCUGAAAGGUGAGCAGGCUGCCCAGUAUACAACCUCACAGCUGGGGGAAACUGGCUCUCACCUGUAUCUGGAAGUGUGGGGAUGCUGACUGCACAGGCUCAUAGAUGCAAUGAGGACCACCUGUACAUAAGGCUUCCUAAGUCAGCUGACUCUGAUCCCAUCAUUACAAUGAGUUACCAUGACUGCUUCAAACAUGAGAUCCACCAUCUCUCUGGGUCUUCGGCUGCCUGUCCUCAGUCUUGCCCAUGGGACCUGUGUGGUUUAUCCUAUGAGAAGAGAAGACUCUGCCCUCCGGUGUGGCGCAACCUGCAAACCAGUAAUGAUGUACGCAAUGCAACAGAAAAGAAUAAAUCACAGGAGAAAGCUGCACGGGUGAGCACUUCCUGAGAUCUGAAUUCGGUGUCUGGGAUCUCUCUGAAUCUAGAAAUAAGUCACCUGGUUGUGGCUUACACCUGUCAGAUCCCAAGAAAAGCAGCCAGUUCUGAGAGUUUCAGGUCUCGAAACAAGAACAUUCAGGAGCACUCUGUAGGGAAGGAACUGUGUUCCCCUGAAGAUCAUCAGAAGCAUUCGAAGUACGUGCAAACACUUGAAAGUGCACAUGUGCGAGCUCUUGGGUGUGCACACAGGCAAGUGCUGCUCCAUAGAGGAAAAGUGCAGGGAGAAUGAACUCCCCUGGCUAUGUAAAUGUUUCAUGUGUACAGCUUUUAGGUGUGAUCUCUAUAGCAUGUUCACAUAUGACCUAUGACAGCUGACUCUUGCCAUCCACAAUCAAGCAGAACUGCAAGUUUGAAGAAUCACGUUUAAUAACAAAGUUUACAAAUGUUUUUAAAGCCCUCAGCACUGGAACACGCACACUCACGUGUGCUCAGAGACCGAAGAGAUUGAAUGGCUUGACUCUGCGGAGAGAAAGACUUGGCUGCCGAGCUUCUAAGAGGCAGAGGAGAGGCCCCGCUGUCGGGGAGGUCAUAUUUGCUUACAUGGAUUUAGCCUAUGGUGAGCAGCCCCCGUUCCUCCUGAAUGUAGAAAAGCUCUCCCCAGUCUCCGUGGGACAAUAAUCGGGGCCUCUGUUUUGCUCUGGGAUAAUCACAUAUAUUAUGAUUACACUUCUCUCACCUGCCAAGAGAAAACUUGUCACAGUUGCCUGGGGCUCUCAAUCCCACUCUGUCAUAGCACACCUCAAUGAAGCCCCACCUGCCUCAGUGGAUGAUUCUCGUCCCCUCACUUAGGGCCUGGGUGUGGUUUGUUUCACAACAGUCCCUGGCUUGUUGGGAGUGACCAAUGAGUCCAAGCUCUCUCUCCAGUGGUCUUGACUUCCUCAUUUCUGAUUGGACACACUGCUCCGCUCCCUUUAUCCCAGAGUCUCUUCCGUCUCUGCCAAGGACUGCACACUGUGUGGAUGUGUAUGAAGCCCUUAGAUGAUGUACUCCAGCUCCUCUGCCAAGGAGGAGCUCAGAACAGGACCAAAGGGAACUGAAUCCUCCUCCACUUAGAAUUAGUCAACGAGCCCACCUUCCUCCUCAUGCCUGCCUGUCUGCCUUCUUUUCCUGUGAGACGUGUCUCACUCUCUAUCCAAGGCUGGCCAUGAACUUGUAGAAAGCCUCUGUUUGCAAAUGGCUGGGAUUACCGGCAUUAGUCACCACUAGAAUGGAUAUUUCUGGACAUUGGGUUAAAGCAAAAUUGUUGAUUCAAGGGUCUCUGAAAAUGAACCAAACACAGUCAUCCAAUCCAGUGUGUCCAGGCCUCGCCACGCACUGUUCCCUCUGUGAAGUGACAUGAACAGCUGCUGACCCUGGAUAUGUUCUUGGAGUGAGUGUCACAGGAAGUCAAGAGGUAAGAUAAUGUCAGAUCAGGGAGGAAUUCUCGUUCUUUACCAGUGUCCCACACAAGACUCUGCGUGUUUCUACCCCUCUCUGAGUUGUCCUUCAGGCAAAUGGAGGACCUGUGUCCACAGAUCAUGAUCACAGGGAAAAGGACUUUGAUAGUCAGAACUGCAAUGGACAACCGAGCCCUGUGUCACUAAAGACCAGGCAGCCUGGGAUGGAAAUGCUAAGUCCUUGAGAUUCCCUGCAUGAGCCCCUCUUUGCCAUAAUGACCUGAAGUAGGCUGAAAUUUUUUUCUCCAAGUCAAGCCAAGGCUGACCGGGAGCUGUAACUAUGGACUUUGCAUCAGCCUGAGUGGAUGAAGCAAUAUUUUUGGAUUUGACUGUGAAGUGAUUCUAAAGGAACUUAUGUGCGGGUUCCUGGACUCAGUGGCAAUGUGAAGCCAUCAGAGCUUCACUGGAAGAAGCAGUGUAGGAGCAGACACUCCCGCUGCGUCUCCCCCGAGAUACACGCUUUCUUUAUCUUUAGCUUUCUUCAUCAGAUUUCCAAGCUGGGUGGCCUCUGGACUCUGAGGAGUAAGCUUGUAUUUCACUAGGCUGUUGGGAUUCUCAGAUUGAGACUCACAAAAGUGGCUUCCCUUGGUCUGUGCCUUUUGGACAAGAACUACGUCAAACCACCAGUAUUUCAGAGCUUCUGUCUUGCAGAAAGCCUGCUGUAGGAAUGCUCAGGCAUAUAGAGAGUGUCCCCGUAGAGCAAUGCUGUAGGGAUAGGGCAGCCCCUCGAGGCCCUGGAACUGCAGGGCGAUCCGUGUGCACACGCAGCCUGGAAAAGCUGCAGCUCGAGAUUCCAACUGUGACAGCGUACACUGAGCCCAGCAGAGCCACAGCCGCAGGUCCUUGGCUUAGCUGGAACCAGUCACUCCUUUCCCUAUUUCUCCCAGAUGAACAGGAGCUGAGUAGCUCACUUCUGCUCCUUCAUCACUUUUGCAAGUGUUCGGGUUGCUGACUGCAGAGGUCCACAGCUAGAGAAGGUCUCUCGCCUGCAUCUGGAAGUGUGUGGAUUACUGACUGCACAGGCUCACAGCUAGAGAAGACUGAAUCUCUCAUCUGCAUUAAUAAGUGUGCUGGCUGCACAGGCCCACAGCUGCAGAAGGCUGACGGCGAUCGUCCUUAUCCAAGAAGAGGUUUUGACUCAUUCAAGUCAAAGGCCAUUUUUAUAAGACAGGGCAGCAGGACACAAAAGGACAGCACUCGUCACACGAGUUUCUGUACCACAGCAGAGUAAGUGGCACCGUGGAAGCAGACGAGACUGAGGAUGUGGACAAGGGGACACAGUCUUCUCUGUGGUGCUCGAUGCUCCAGACUUCAGCACUGCCUCACCUUACCCGUGAGCUGCAGUCUCACUCCUGCGUGGCUGACCCAGACGCAAUGGGGACCACUUCUACACAAGUCUUUUCCAAGUCGGGAACCCGUGGUGACUUACCUGGCCUUGUUGCCAUCCCACUUUCCCCAGGCUGAGUGGCUGAUGCUGCUGUGCUGGGGGCUAAGUCCUCAGAGGCUUCCUCUGGGCCACACCCAGUGGUGGCUUGAAAAGUGCGGUUCCUACUGAAGAGGCUUCAGCCUUUGUAGAUGACCGUGCUGCACCAGGGCCCCUUCCCCACAGUAACUUCCUUCCCCACCAUCCACUGGCCCAGCUGGAGGAGAGCCCCUUUGGCAAAUCCUUCUGAGGGUUUUGUAGAACGUUUUUGAUAUCUUCCCAGAAAGCAACAUUCUAUGCUACUUCCUGUCUAGUACAGAAAGAGAAAAGGAUUUCGGCUAACACUUCAAAUCUCAGCAGAAAGAGCAGAGUCAGCACAGUGAUGACCAAAACGUAGCUCAGGCCUGAUGCCACAGCAUAGAAUCUGUGUCCUCUAUAACCAUAGCCAUAAUGGAGCCAUGGUUCACAGAUGCCACCCAUGUACACAGUUGCUAUAUGGCUGUCUUCUGUAACAGCUAAGUCACAAUAGCCUCAGGAACCUACUUCACUUUGUGUGUGCAAACGUGUGCCUGUGUGUGCGAUCACAUGCACAUGUGUGCAAGUGAGUGUGGAGGUUAGACAUAGAUCUUUGGUAUGUACUUCCAAUGUGGUCUACCUUAUUUUUUCUGGGAAAGGGUCUUUAAUUAAUCUGGAAACUCUCACAGUUGGCCUGGCUGGCUGGCCAGUGAGCCCCAGGGGUCCAACCUGUAGUUGCCUUACUACUGUGGCUAUCAGCACUAACAAAUCUGCAUGCAUUUUUAUUAUCAUUAUCCUUAUUAAUCCUUGGACUCUUGGGAUUAGCUCAGGUCCUCAUGCUUGGACUGAAGCUCUCCAGCCUUCAUUUUAAUCUUUGCUGUAAUCUUGGUGCACCUUCACUGUCUGUUCCCUGAAACCUGUCAUCUACAGUUCCGUUCUGUAGCUGUGCUGAUACGUGUAUUCUGUAUCCCAAGCAAGGCUGAAGAGGCAAACCAACUCCACAGUUGGUUUUAGCAGUCUCGGCUAAAUUCCAAUCGGAAACAAAGACUCCAAUUUUGCUCCUGAAGGUCACUUGAAUUCAGUGACGUGUAAAAAAUACUAAAUGCCAUGUAAUAAAUUUUCACUCAGUGCUUUUGAAAUGUUUGGAUGAGAGCAACUCACCUCUUCUGACCAUCAACACAAGCAGAUGGAACAACCCAGCAGACAGAUGCAUAUAGCAGUGUAUAGGUGACUCCAUUGUCCAUUCCUGCCCAGCACCAGAGUACCGAAGAGCACUGGGCUCACCUACAGGAGCCAAAGCUGUACCCAACAAGACUGCACACCCUGGGAAAGAUCAGUGGCUACAAAAAGAAGUUAAGGGAGUGGCUCUCAAUGUCCUAAUGUCACAACACUUUAAUACAUCCCCCUUAUAUUGUGGUGAGC